UAGGGAAUAUUGGACAAUGGGUGAGAGCCUGAUCCAGCCAUGCCGCGUGCAGGAAGAAGGCGUUAUGCGUUGUAAACUGCUUUUGCCAGGGGAUAAAAAGACCGUGCGCGGUUAAUUGAAGGUACCUGGUGAAUAAGCCACGGCUAACUACGUGCCAGCAGCCGCGGUAAUACGUAGGUGGCAAGCGUUGUCCGGAUUUAUUGGGUUUAAAGGGUGCGUAGGUGGCCCUGUAAGUCAGUGGUGAAAUAUCUCAGCUUAACUGAGAGGGUGCCAUUGAUACUGCAGGGCUUGAGUACAGAUGAGGUAGGCGGAAUUGACGGUGUAGCGGUGAAAUGCAUAGAUAUCGUCAAGAACACCGAUAGCGAAGGCAGCUUACCAAGCUGUAACUGACACUGAGGCACGAAAGUGUGGGGAUCAAACAGGAUUAGAUACCCACGUAGUCCCUGAGCGGGCUGGCAAGGCGCAU
rnacentral:rRNA from 1 species